UAAGGCAUUCUGGGUGCCUGCUCUCUAAGUGGGAGGAACAGAGCGUAGCCCUUGCACCAUGUUGUGGGAAACAACUGUCCCAUCGCUGCCACUUCCGCUGGUGUUGGGAGAAUGGAUGUGCUUGUGUUUGGAUGUCCCUAUUUAUAGAAUAGGCUAGCGACGGCCAGUGCAGCCGGCCGCCGACGGUUUCUUGUGUAUGCUGCGAUGCAAAUCUCCUCUGUCAGCUGUGUGUGUGCGCUACUGGGGGAAGGCGAACGAACUGGAGAGGAACUUGACUCACCUUUUCCUGGCUCGCCAUGAGAAACUGAGCACGCAACAAUAGAAAUGGCCCUUCUGGAGCGUGUCAUGGUUUCUCGCUAGGGAAAUAAGCAGGCUAAUGUGACAAAACCUCUGUAGAUAAAAAACGACAGGGACGGAGGUGUAUGGGCUUGAGGCUGAGCAGCACAUCAUCCCGGCAAGCCGACAGCCAGGCCUGCCUCUGAAAUCACCAACCACUUACACAGGAAGUGAUGGGCACUCCACACUGCUGCACCGAGAGAAAGUCUGUGAGCAUCAUCAUGCGGCCUCAGGCUCGUUUACAAUCUUGAACUGGAAUGACCUUUCCACUGUGGGGCAAACUCCUUCCCAGACUCAGAGAUUAACCACACAAGUACUUCAGUGAUUCAAAAAACAAUCGCAUGGUUGCUCUCCCUUGGAGAUGAAUUCCCAAACAGGUAGCAAAUACGGGCAACGCUUGGUAACCGUGUUCAACCAGAGAUUCUAAGAAAAGUUCAAGGUUAAUCACUGAAAGGCUUUGUACUGAGGCCACCCUCUUUGGUAGCCAACACAUCCUAGAAUUUUGUAAAUAUUUAGAGCUAAUUCCCUUAUCACGAAGCUCACAUUUUCCAGAAGCCUUUCUAGUGGCCAGGGGGAGAGAAGGGAUUCGAAGAUUCUGAUUCCCUCUGCCCUGUGCCCUACCAACUUCCUGGGUCAACCCUAACUAUGCAAAACACCAAUGUGCACUUCCAGGCACACAUCCCUUCAAGCUCCCAUGAGGAAAUUCCUGUUUGCGGGUUGCUGCUUUCCUGUUCCAGGAGGCUGGCUGGCCCUCCAGAGCUGGAGGAUAGGAGUGCUGGGAGUUUCCUUCCCAUCUCUGAGACCAGAUCUCUGUCACUGGGGUCAUGUCUGAGCACUGGCCCAGGGUGCUGGGACCCCGACGGGGAAGCAAUGGGGAGGAAAUGUUUCUCCUGCCCUCCAACUCCCAAGGACUCCCAUGCUCACAUAGACAUCAACCCAACCAGACUGUUCCCCUAUGUUCCGAGCUGCUAGGGGGAUCCGAGACGGAGGCUAAGAGCCAUUCAGCAGAGUUUGUUGCUGGCCUUGUCAGAAGCUCAUGAGAGAUGGCUUCCCCUCCUGUGCAGUGAAGGUCAGAGAGCUCACCAGGUCCAUCCCCAUCCCAAACCAGCAGAUUUUAGUGUUUCGGUCAAAAAAGCAGGACAAAGUUUUAAAAGAUUAAGUUGAAGCAAAAGAGCACAGUGUCACAAAAUUGAACUCGAUACACGUGAGAGGCAUAAAAUAGUAAUAAAGAUAAACAAGAAACAAUAGAUAAAAACACAGCGAAAGGCACUGGUCUGGCAGUGGUUCUCUCCGAGUUUAGUAUAGGAGAUGCCCUGUUUUUAUCAGCUUCUGUCCUUGGGUUCUUCAACACAAAGCCUUCUAGAGAGCCUGGAGGGUUGUCGCAGAGCAAGAAGUCUUUGGUUUCUAAACCCGCAGACUAGAAUAGAUACAGUCUUUUGUUAUAGGUUCCCUGGAAUACAGAACGGCCUAUGGAGAGCGCUUUUCUCCGGGAGUGUCCAGUUUUCUGCGACAUCCCCAAAUGGUAUUAGACCCACAUUCAAAUGUCCAAGCUGGUCCAACUCCAGAGUCCUCAGAUAAGGCCUAGAAAAGUCCAACUGAGUGCUCUGGGUGACAAGGUAAAUUAUAUGUCACCUUCUAAAGCUGUUUGGGACCCCGUGGGAGGAAGACACCACACAAGCCAAGAGACCUUUUCCAUUUCAAAUUACAAGGAUUCUGUGAAAGUCUCCAGCCGCCACUCUGUCUGGCUUUCUGGGCCUGGGUGUGCCAGUUGCCACUCUGCUGUGCGGAGGUGGACAGACGGCCAGGGGACAGGGAUGGCUGGAUAUGGCCACUGGCAGCCAGCUAGCAUACCCAGGCACCAGCCCUCAGCUAAACUAUCACUGUGGGCUCCAGGAGAAUUCUUGAGAACCCAGUCUCACAAGGUAAGGGACAAGUCCAAGCUCCACAGAUCCAUCACAAAAGCUGAUCACAUAUGAAAAAAAAA